CCUACGGGAGGCUGCAGUGGGGAAUAUUGCACAAUGGGGGAAACCCUGAUGCAGCGACGCCGCGUGAGUGAAGAAGUAUUUCGGUAUGUAAAGCUCUAUCAGCAGGGAAGAAAAUGACGGUACCUGACUAAGUAGCUCCGGCUAACUACGUGCCAGCAGCCGCGGUAAUACGUAGGGGGCAAGCGUUAUCCGGAUUUACUGGGUGGAAAGGGAGCGUAGACGGUGAUGCAAGUCAGAAGUGAAUGCCCGGGGGUUAACUCCGGGACUGCUUUUGAUACUGUGUGACUGGAGUGCAGGAGAGGUAAGCGGAAUUCCUGGUGUAGCGGUGAAAUGCGUAGAUAUCAGGAGGAACACCAGUGGCGAAGGCGGCUUACUGGACAGUAACUGACGUUGAAGCUCGAAAGCGUGGGGAGCAAACAGGAUUAGAUACCCCGGUAGUC
rnacentral:rRNA from 1 species